UGGGGAAUUUUGGACAAUGGGCGCAAGCCUGAUCCAGCCAUGCCGCGUGCGGGAAGAAGGCCUUCGGGUUGUAAACCGCUUUUGGCAGGAACGAAACAGCGACUCCUAAUACGGGUUGCGAAUGACGGUACCUGCAGAAUAAGCACCGGCUAACUACGUGCCAGCAGCCGCGGUAAUACGUAGGGUGCGAGCGUUAAUCGGAAUUACUGGGCGUAAAGCGUACGCAGGCGGCUCUGUAAGACGGAUGUGAAAUCCCCGGGCUUAACCUGGGAACUGCAUUCGUGACUGCAGGGCUAGAGUCUGUCAGAGGGGGGUGGAAUUCCACGUGUAGCAGUGAAAUGCGUAGAUAUGUGGAAGAACACCGAUGGCGAAGGCAGCCCCCUGGGAUGAGACUGACGCUCAUGUACGAAAGCGUGGGGAGCAAACA
rnacentral:rRNA from 1 species